rnacentral:lncRNA from 1 species
UGUAAUUCAAAUGAAUCAAUGACCAGAAUAUUCAAUUGAACUUGGAUCACUAUAUUUUGAAUUAAUUUCAAAUUGAAGCAAAGAAUAAUAUAGGUGGUUAAAGGAAUGAUAUUGUUCUUUUGCAAGAGAAAAUUUACACAAAAAAUAAGGUUAAGUUAUAUCGAAGUUUAAGUAUAUUAUUAUUUAUUGUACCAAUUAUCCUUGUAGUACCCAGUUGCUUUGUAAUUAAAGUAGUUGGAGUAGUACUAGUCAGUUUCCUCUCCUGUAAAAUUUGGAAAUGUCAGGAGAACACUAAAGCAGGAAAAAUAUCAAAACAUCAACAUCUAGGCAGAUAUUUUCAAACUACAGAAAAUUAAAGAAAAAAAAAAUAUUUAAAGAAGCGACAGUAGAAAAACACCUAGACUAUAUAUGAACAAAGAUAAGAAUUGCUUCCAAAUUCUCCCCAGAAGUCAUGCAAGCAAUAAGAAUGUAGAGUGAAAUGUUUAAAAUGUUGAAAGAAAAAAUACAGCAACAUAGAAUUCUUUAGCCUGUGAAACAGUUAUUCAAAAGUGAAGGAGAAAUACCUUCUUAGACAAAAAUGGAAGGAAUUUAUUACCAAAAGAUGCACCAACAAUAAAGCCCAGUGGCCCCAGUGGCAUAUUCUUAUAAUCCCAGUGAAUCAGGAGCCAGAGG